AUUGAACGCUGGCGGCAGGCCUAACACAUGCAAGUCGAGCGGAUGAAGGGAGCUUGCUCCUGGAUUCAGCGGCGGACGGGUGAGUAAUGCCUAGGAAUCUGCCUGGUAGUGGGGGAUAACGUCCGGAAACGGGCGCUAAUACCGCAUACGUCCUGAGGGAGAAAGUGGGGGAUCUUCGGACCUCACGCUAUCAGAUGAGCCUAGGUCGGAUUAGCUAGUUGGUGGGGUAAAGGCCUACCAAGGCGACGAUCCGUAACUGGUCUGAGAGGAUGAUCAGUCACACUGGAACUUGAGCACGGUCCAAACUCCUACGGGAAGCAGCAGUGGGGAAUAUUGGACAAAGGGCGAAAGCCUGAUCCAGCCAUGCCGCGUGUGUGAAGAAGGUCUUCGGAUUGUAAAGCACUUUAAGUUGGGAGGAAGGGCAGUAAGUUAAUACCUUGCUGUUUUGACGUUACCAACAGAAUAAGCACCGGCUAACUUCGUG
rnacentral:rRNA from 1 species